ACUCAUCUAGCUCAGUCGGUAGAGCUCAAGGCUUUUAAUCUUAAGGUUGUGGGUUCGAGCCCCAUGGUGAGCG
rnacentral:tRNA from 1 species